UACGGGGGGGCAAGCGUUGUUCGGAAUUACUGGGCGUAAAGGGCUCGUAGGCGGCCAACUAAGUCGGAUGUGAAAUCCCCAGGCUUAACCUGGGAACUGCAUCCGAUACUGGAUGGCUUGAAUCCGGGAGAGGGAUGCAGAAUUCCAGGUGUAGCGGUGAAAUGCGUAGAUAUCUGGAGGAAUACCGGUGGCGAAGGCGGCAUCCUGGACCGGCAUUGACGCUGAGUGAGCGAAAGCCAGGGGAGCAACGGG
rnacentral:rRNA from 1 species